UACGUAGGGACCAAGCGUUGUUCGGAUUUACUGGGCGUAAAGGGCGCGUAGGCGGCGCGGUAAGUCACUUGUGAAAUCUCUGAGCUUAACUCAGAACGGCCAAGUGAUACUGCAGUGCUAGAGUGUGGAAGGGGCAAUCGGAAUUCUUGGUGUAGCGGUGAAAUGCGUAGAUAUCAAGUGGAACACCAGUGGCGAAGGCGAGUCCCUGGAAAACUCCUGACACUGAGGCACGAAAGCUAGGGGAGCAAACAGG
rnacentral:rRNA from 1 species